CCUACGGGAGGCAGCAGUAAGGAAUAUUGGUCAAUGGGCGCAAGCCUGAACCAGCCAUGCCGCGUGCAGGAAGACGGCCCUAUGGGUUGUAAACUGCUUUUGAACAAGAGAAAACCUCGGUACGUGUACCGAGCUGAUAGUAUUGUUAGAAUAAGCAUCGGCUAACUUCGUGCCAGCAGCCGCGGUAAGACGAAGGAUGCAAGCGUUAUCCGGAUUCAUUGGGUUUAAAGGGUGCGUAGGCGGCCUGAUAAGUCAGUGGUGAAAUCUCUCAGCUUAACUGAGAAACUGCCAUUGAUACUGUCGGGCUUGAGUACAGAUGAUGUGGGCGGAAUAUGACAUGUAGUGGUGAAAUACUUAGAUAUGUCAUAGAACACCGAUUGCGAAGGCAGCUCACAAAACUGUAACUGACGCUGAGGCACGAAAGUGCGGGGAUCAAACAGGAUUAGAUACCCUGGUAGUCCGCACCGUAAACGAUGAUUACUCGUUGUUGGCAAUAUGACCGUCAGCGACCAAGCGAAAGCGAUAAGUAAUCCACCUGGGGAGUACGCCGGCACGGUGAAACUCAAAGGAUUGACGGCGNGAGAGNGCGACGACGCGACGAGGGAGGAGG
rnacentral:rRNA from 1 species